CAAUUUGUACCUUCCAUGCCAUUUGCUUUGUGAAAUGAUGGAUAUUGCUCCAAUGAUUGUGAAAUUUUGCAUGCUUAAAAUAGACAUCUUAAUGGUCAUUUUGGUAUAGAGUUUGCAUUUUUCUCAUUUCUGGUUGUUGAGAUAUGAUUUGUUGAAUGUAGGUGUGACAAUGUGUGUCACACCUUUGCUUGCUUGACUUGUUG
rnacentral:lncRNA from 1 species